UGUCUUUCAACAGGUAAGAAUUUAUUUUUCAACCUGGCCGUCUCCUCCACAAAGCUUAAUCUGCAGACACAAAAAAAAAUUUCCGACUCUUUACCUCCCCUAACGUUUAACGACAUUCAAUAUAUUCUUCUUAAUUUGGCCAAUUAAAGUGAUUCCCAUUUAGCCCAAUAACAAAGUCGACCUCUCCGUUUCCUUCGUGUGAUCUAUAAAUUGGAGAGGAUUGGGAGUCGGAUGAAUCUUCACAAUCGCUUUAAACUAAUCUUCUAUAUCAAGCAUAGAAAUGCUUCUUUUGUGGUCAAAUGUGUCACAUGGCUUCAGACUGUGAAGGAAUCAAAGCAAAGAAGAGGCAGGAGAAUAUGAUGAGAAGGGCGAUGGUUUUGUCAAAAAGCCAUAUCAGCGUUUUCUGCAUGUAAAUGAGGACUUCUAACUCAAGGUAUUCUCAUGUCAAUUCUCAGUACUCUCCAGUUUGAUUUCUGUAAUAGUUCCUUUCCAUUACCGAGGCAUCCCUUCCACAAACAAGGCUUGGGAGUAGGAAGGUCAGCUAUCCUUCAAGUGUGGACUUAUUUGUACACCCGAGGUUGUGCUGCAAACAAUGAGCUUGAGUCUCUGAAACCGGAAUUCAGACAGGAGAGUGGAUGAACUGAACACAGCCCACAACGAAUCCUUUUGUGUUGGAAGUGGUUUCCCGGUGGUAUCGUAUAGUUCAGAUUAUGUUGAAUGUCAUCCUGUCCACAGAACUUCAUACUCCAGACCUGAUAUUGUCAAGGUUUACGAAUUAGAAUUAGCCGUUUGCUGACUACAUCAUUGUAUCUUCAAAGUACAUGUUGCUUUCUUACCAGUCUUUUUUUUCUUUCUUUCUUUUUUCUUUCCCUGUAUGUAGUCGUUAAGACCGACAGCAUCUCAAGCAACGUAUGACGCUAAUCUUACUUCAUCGUCAAACCUUACACCUGUUCAUCAGUAUUUCUAGAAGCUGGUUUGUUCUUGGAGCCAGCUGGUCUACCUUUGGCCUCUUAGUCAUAUCGCUUUUGAUUGAAGAAACCAGUUAGAUCGCUUGGUCAAUACUUUCAAGUCGCUGUUUUUUUCUUUUCCUUUCCGUUUUUUCGUUAUUGCUUCUCUCUCUGCUGCUUAUUGGUUCCUCAUUGCAAGUAGUGCCUUAGAUCCUACAGAGGUUGAGUUCAAUCUGUACCUCCUGCUAUGGCUUCCACUGAGAUUUUGUGGGGAGUUUAUGGUUUUAAGAAAGAGAUAAUGUGAACUGUUGGAGGUGGUUAAGUUGUUCUCAAAAUUAUGAUUAAUAAUUAACAAAUCAUUUUGCCCAUAUAGGUUUUUGGCAGCCUAUUUCUCAAC